rnacentral:tRNA from 1 species
ACUAUUUUGGCAGAAAAUUGCUUUAAAUUUAGAAUUUAAUUAUAUGAUUAAAUAUCAUAAAUAGUA